CCUACGGGUUGCAGCAGUAGGGAAUCUUCCGCAAUGGGCGAAAGCCUGACGGAGCAACGCCGCGUGAGUGAUGAAGGUCUUCGGAUCGUAAAACUCUGUUAUUAGGGAAGAACAAACGUGUAAGUAACUGUGCACGUCUUGACGGUACCUAAUCAGAAAGCCACGGCUAACUACGUGCCAGCAGCCGCGGUAAUACGUAGGUGGCAAGCGUUAUCCGGAAUUAUUGGGCGUAAAGCGCGCGUAGGCGGUUUUUUAAGUCUGAUGUGAAAGCCCACGGCUCAACCGUGGAGGGUCAUUGGAAACUGGAAAACUUGAGUGCAGAAGAGGAAAGUGGAAUUCCAUGUGUAGCGGUGAAAUGCGCAGAGAUAUGGAGGAACACCAGUGGCGAAGGCGACUUUCUGGUCUGUAACUGACGCUGAUGUGCGAAAGCGUGGGGAUCAAACAGGAUUAGAUACCCUAGUAGUC
rnacentral:rRNA from 1 species